CCUGAGCCGCAUUCAUCAGCUCCACGGUGAUGAUGGGAGGAACUGCUGCUCAGCUGCUGGUCCRGAGGGGCCGGGAGCCGCGCAGACAUCAUUGGUUGAGCUCUGAAGAUGAAUCAAUUCCCCAGGCGACCUCCGCGUACCUCCUCCUGCUGCCUCUCCUUGCUGAAAGCAACAAAACCCCUCCAAAAAACAAAAGACAUCAGUGCAUCAGAAUUCAUGGGGYGGAUGACAGCGUUUGAAUUGGAAAUCACCGAGGUGGUCUGGUUUCUAUUCGUUAUCAGAGCUUUAUUCAAGCAACAGGAAUCUGCUAAGGGGCUCGAGCGGAUCAGGCGGCUUGGCUGGCCCGAGGCGCAGUGAAGUAGGGGCAGCCCACGGCACAGGUAUUUGGGGGACGCUGUUGAUGGAGUCAAUGAGAAAGUGUCUCCUGGGGAUGAGGAGUGGAGUGGCAAGCCCCAGGUGAGCAGAGCCACUCACCUGGAUGUUCCCUCUUCCCCUAUUAUAGGGGGGGAAAAAACAAAUAGAACAUCUGACAGCAAAGCCAGGCUUGCGMGAUAAUUCUAUUCCCAGAUCAAAUCACAGCGCAGGGAAUGCGUUAUCAUCAACGUGAUUACCUUGGGGGACAGAGACAGAGAGUUUUAUUAAAUGAGACAAUCUUGCUAAAAGGAAGCCUUACAUUAGACUUUGGGCCUUAAAUAACAUUAGUGUCAGGAGCUGACAAACACUCGGCACGCGGUGUCUGAAAGCUCGGGAGCCAGCGCCUCAGUGGGGUCGCUGGGGCUGGUGCGUCSAGGGUGGAGACGGAUGAGGCAGCCCUCCACCCUGUGGCCGCCACACCCGGCCAGUGGCUCUUUGUCACCACACAGAGCAGUUCAGGCCCAGCUCUUCUCUCAGGCCAGCAGGGACCACCUUCUUGGUGACACUGGGGGCUGGGAAUACUCUGUGGCACUAAAGGAGAGAGACUUGCACUUCUUGCUUGGGGAACAGAGAUUCUGAGACUCAACAGGCCCCCAGCAGAGGCACAGGUUGGUUUCCACAUGGGAUUCACACUCCCCUCUGUGAUGAGGGGUCUCGGUUGUCCUGGGGCUCUGCAGUUACAGCAAAGCCUGUGCCCCUCAGCGGGCUAGGGUGUGUACUUUGGAGAUAAAAGGUCUGGGAAGUUUGAGUUGAGGUCCUGCUUCACCACACUUGUGACCUUGAGCCUGUUAAUUAAUGUCUUCCGAUGUCCAUCUCCUUGCCUAUAAAAUGGGUUAACAGAUACUGACUUCACAGGGACUGAAUGARUUGGUUCAGACAGCUCCUAGUUCAGAGCCUGGCACACAGGGAGUGUCUGUCAUGUUCUCUUUGCUGUGUCUUGGCU
rnacentral:lncRNA from 1 species